rnacentral:rRNA from 1 species
CCUACGGGAGGCAGCAGUAGGGAAUAUUGGUCAAUGGACGAAAGUCUGAACCAGCAAUGCCGCGUGCAGGAAGACGGCUCUAUGAUUUGUAAACUGCUUUUGUACAAGGGUAAAUCUGAAUACGUGUAUUCUGCUGACAGUACUGUACGAUUCAGGAUCGGCUAACUCCGUGCCAGCAGCCGCGGUAAUACGGAGGGUCCAAGCGUUCACCGGAUUUAUGGGGCUUAAAGGGUUCGUAGGCGGAUUUAUAAGUUAGAGGUGAAAUGUCCGAGCUUAACUCGGGAACUGCAUGUAAUACUGUUGAUCUAGAGAAUAGGUGAGGUAGGCGGAAUGUAUGGUGUAGCGGUGAAAUGCUUAGAGAUCAAACAGAACACUGAUUGCGAAGGCAGCCUACCAGUCUAUAUCUGACGUUGAGGCACGAAAGCGUGGGGAGCAAACAGGAUUAGAUACCCUAGUAGUC